AAACAGUUCUGAGAGCAAACAGGAGCUUCAGCAGCAGGAUUCACAGGGUUUCAGGAGCCAAGCAGAGGGCAGAGAAGCCAGGGAGGGCUUUUCUUAAGGUAUGAAUAAUGCAUGAUCGCUGCAGCGACUAGGGCAACAUCAACAACCAUAUCAGAUGAGCCCGUUGCUCAGACGGAGCCAGCUCUGAGAUCCCGCUACUCAUCCUGUUUUUCUGGCAUGAUGUGCUGUGAUACUACAGACUCAGAGCAGCAGUGACAAGAGACCACAGAAUGGAAUUUUGACAUCACCCAGAAGAAAUGGUAUAUCCCUGUAAUCCUUCCCUUGGGAAAGGUAGACAGGAGGCAGUAUAAGAUUCUGCCUUAUUUAUAAUAGCCAGAAGCUGGAAAGAACCCAGAUGUCCUUCAGCAGAGGAAUGGAUACAGAAAAUGUGGUACAUUUACACAAUGGAGUACUACUCAGCUAUUAAAAACAAUGAAUUUAUGAAAUUCGUAGGCAAAUGGAUGGAACUAGAAAAUAUCAUCCUGAGUGAGGUAACCCAAUCACAAAGGAAGAAACAUGAUACUUCCACAUCUUGACCUGUGACUACUGCUUUACAGAGCAAAGGGAUGUGUAGUUCCUUAUGUAACAAAUGUAAUCAGCCAAGGAUUUAUUAUUGUGAGGAAAUUUGGAGUUAUUGCUGGAUGGGAAGAAUGUGGUUGAGAAAUAUCAGAUGAGCAUCAGUGGACACUGGCUACUACUGGAAGCUGAAAUGCCCGGGAAGCAAGAAAGACACAUACUCCCCUGAGGCUCCCAGAGGAACACAGCCCUGCCUAUACCUUGACUUGAUAUGAAGCAAUCUAGUUUGUGUCAAUUGUUAUGGCAGCCUUAGGAAACCAACUCUAUGGCCAUGUGGGAAGCCACAUAUGCCGUUGCAGGGUGGCGCUGGCCACCACGCAUACAUAGGCAGUAAAGUUUUUUUUGCCAAGAUGAGGUUUUGAGAAUUAACCAAAAUUAACCAAUCAGAUGAGAGACAAGUUAACCAAUCAGAUGAGAGACAAGUUAACCAAUCAGAUGAGAGACAAGUUAACCAAUCAGAUGUGAGACAUGCAAAUGAGGUGGUAAGCAUAACCCAUGCAUAACCAAUCCAGGUGUGAGACACGCCUCUCCUAGGCCUAUAUAAGCAGCACCAGUUCUGGGCUUGGGGUCUCUUCGCCUCUGCAAUCAAGCUCUCCCAAUAAACGUGUGUGGAAGGAUCCUGUUGCAGUGUCGUUCUUGCUGAAAGAGAAAGAAAAUGGAAGGAGUCUGAGAAUCUCGUAAUACGCUUGGUACUUCUUCCCUGUUUCUGGAGUUACCCACUGGAACAGAAGCAAUCUGUUGUGGUGGUGGGGUAAUCUGGGCGCCACGGUGUUUGCACAGAAUUUAGUAGUAAAGGUACUUUCCUUGGGUUGAUCAGAAUUUAUUUUCAUUGUUAAUUCAGGCUUUAUUUCCAGUACGUCCCCAAAUCUCCAUUUACCAGCCAGCCACUUGAUAUCUGUUGAAUAGUCACAAUAAACUCUUGAAUGAGAUCCA
rnacentral:lncRNA from 1 species